rnacentral:lncRNA from 1 species
AUGUGUAACUGUGUGUGUGUAUAUAUGUGUGUGUGUGUGAGACGUGUGUGUGUGUAUGUGAGACCUGUGUGUGUAUGUGUGUGUAUAUAUGUGUGUGUAUGUGUAACUGUGUGUGUGUAUAUAUGUGUGUGUAUGUGUAACUGUGUGUGUGUAUAUAUGUGUGUGUGUGUGAGACGUGUGUGUGUGUAUGUGAGACCUGUGUGUGUAUGUGUGUGUAUAUAUGUGUGUGUAUGUGUAACUGUGUGUGUGUAUAUAUGUGUGUGUAUGUGUAACUGUGUGUGUGUAUAUAUGUGUGUGUGUGUGAGACGUGUGUGUGUGUAUGUGAGACCUGUGUGUGUAUGUGUGUGUAUAUAUGUGUGUGUAUGUGUAACUGUGUGUGUGUAUAUAUGUGUGUGUAUGUGUAACUGUGUGUGUGUAUAUAUGUGUGUGUGUGUGAGACGUGUGUGUGUGUAUGUGAGACCUGUGUGUGUAUGUGUGUGUAUAUAUGUGUGUGUAUGUGUAACUGUGUGUGUGUAUAUAUGUGUGUGUAUGUGUAACUGUGUGUGUGUAUAUAUGUGUGUGUGUGUGAGACGUGUGUGUGUGUAUGUGAGACCUGUGUGUGUAUGUGUGUGUAUAUAUGUGUGUGUAUGUGUAACUGUGUGUGUGUAUAUAUGUGUGUGUAUGUGUAACUGUGUGUGUGUAUAUAUGUGUGUGUGUGUGAGACGUGUGUGUGUGUAUGUGAGACCUGUGUGUGUAUGUGUGUGUAUAUAUGUGUGUGUAUGUGUAACUGUGUGUGUGUAUAUAUGUGUGUGUAUGUGUAACUGUGUGUGUGUAUAUAUGUGUGUGUGUGUGAGACGUGUGUGUGUGUAUGUGAGACCUGUGUGUGUAUGUGUGUGUAUAUAUGUGUGUGUAUGUGUAACUGUGUGUGUGUAUAUAUGUGUGUGUAUGUGUAACUGUGUGUGUGUAUAUAUGUGUGUGUGUGUGNNNNNNNNNNNNNNNNNNNNNNNNNNNNNNNNNNNNNNNNNNNNNNNNGUGUGUAUAUAUGUGUAUGUGUGUGUAUAUAUGUGA